rnacentral:lncRNA from 1 species
AAAUACACAUUCAUAAAAAAAAAUGGAAUUUAUUACAAAGGAUAAUCAUAAGAUAUACUUGAAUUGUCCUGGACCUCACUUCUGUGAUGGGUAUAUGUUAAUGACAUCCUUCUCUGAAUACGGGACAAACAUAUUAGUAGUGGUAGACCCCAAUGGCCAAAGUUCUUCAAUUUAUACCGAAUAUUGACUGUAAAAAAAAAAAUGCUAACAUUCCAAUUUUCAAUAACAGUUAACAGCAAAUACAUUAUCACAAUAACAGAUAACAAAAAAACUAAAAGCCCAAUAACAGCUAACAAAGAAUAAGACAAUAACAGCUAACAGCAAAUAUAUUUUCAAAAUAACAGAUAACAAAGAAUUAAAUUGCCCCAUAACAGCAUAACAGUUAAACCCCUUGCCCCCCUCUAGAAUAAUAUAAAUUAAGGCGGGCCACAAAAAUUAAAUAUCCGCCAAACUAGCCCGCCAAACAAAACCAAACAAGUUACAGAUGUGGUU